rnacentral:tRNA from 1 species
GUCCUCAUAGUUCAACUGGAUAGAACGGGGGCGUCCUAAGCCUUUGAUAGUGGUUCGAGUCCACUUGAGGACACCA